CCACCCCUCUCUUCAGCGUCUUCUCCUCCAUUCACCUCCCCGCUCACCGAAAUCCAACAACCACCAGUAACUGAGGCUCACACGACCCCUUUCCGAAAAACGAGUUGCACAGCGACAAACACACACACACACACAACCCCUCGCCGGAAAACGAAUCAAACAGCAACAAACACACACACAGCGAGCUCUCACUUCUUUUUUCAACUGAAACAAAACGAAAUAGUAGGGGAGGGAAUAGAAGUCGAAACAGAAUGGAGUAACAAAAACGAAGAAGAACAAAACAGAAACGAAAAAAUGCAAAAAUUGAAAAUAUAUAUCAGUAUAUACAUAUAUAAUAGAGUUUCUAUUUCUUUCACUUGAUUUUGGGUUUGGAUUCUAAAAUCACUGUGUUUUCUUGAGGUCUAGAAGUCCGCUGAUAUUGGUUGCCGAUUCAAGGUCUGUUUCGAUCGAAUUUGAAUUCGUCAAGUUUCCAUUCGCUGGUUUUGUUGCUAUUUUCCAUUGUGGUCAGAUAUCCUUCCGCUGGGGUUGGCUCGGCGAUUAAAAUUCAAAGGAGAAUCGAUCCAUUUGAGGUCUGUCGCCAUUUUGCUCUUUGGUUGCUCAUUUUGUCUAGUAUGAUGUUUUAGCGGUAGACUUGUGUGAAUUCCAU
rnacentral:lncRNA from 1 species